rnacentral:rRNA from 1 species
AGCGAACGCUGGCGGCAGGCCUAACACAUGCAAGUCGAACGAACUCUUCGGAGUUAGUGGCGGACGGGUGAGUAACACGUGGGAACGUGCCUUUUGGUUCGGAAUCACUCAGGGAAACUUGUGCUAAUACCGAAUGUGCCCUUCGGGGGUAAGAUGUAUCGCCAUUAGAGCGGCCCGCGUCUGAUUAGCUAGUUGGUGAGGUAACGGCUCACCAAGGCGACGAUCAGUAGCUGGUCUGGGAGGAUGACCAGCCACACUGGGACUGAGACACGGCCCAGACUCCUACGGGAGGCAGCAGUGGGGAAUCUUGCGCAAGGGGCGAAAGCCUGGCGCAGCCAUGCCGGGUGAAUGAUGAAGGUCUUAGGAUUGUAAAAUUCUUUCACCGGAGACGAUAAUGACGGUACCCGGAGAAGAAGCCCCGGCUAACUUCGUG